GACGAACGCUGGCGGCGUGCCUAAUACAUGCAAGUAGGACGAAGUUGCGAACGGGUGAGUAACGCCUAGGUAACUGCCUAUUAGAGGGGGAUAACUCUUGGAAACGAUAGCUAAUACCGCAUACUAGUAGAUGGACCUGCGGUGUAUUAGCUAGUAGGUAGGGUAAUGGCAUACCUAGGCGACGAUACAUAGCCGACUCUAGAUGGUUAUCGGGCAAACUGGGAACGAGACCAGGCCCCGAAGCCGUAGGGAGGCAGCAGGAGGGAAGUGUUGGAAAUUGGGGGAAACCUGACCGAGCAACGGCGCGGGAGGGAAGAAGGUUUUCGGAUAGGAAAGCUCUGUUGUUAAGGAAGCGGUACUUAACCAGAAAGGGACGGCUAACUACGUGCCAGCCGCCGCGGUAAUAC
rnacentral:rRNA from 1 species